GGCGAGGGAAGGAGGCAUUCAUUCCCCUUCUUCAAGAAUUCUUUAUGAAAAAGAUUGUGAAGACACAAAAACCAGAAGAAAAAUGGAUCUGAACGUUAUGCAAAUGUGAGACCCUCUGCCAAGAGGAAAGGUUUCAUUUGACAUUGGAGCAGGACUGCCAGGAAAUUACAAGGGGGAAGUAAACCCUGGAAGCAGUCCAGCAAGAGCCUUGGUCGCCUGCAGUGUGUGGUCAUAUUCCAGUAGAACCAGGGACCCUGGUAAAAUGAUCUGUUUCACUCUGGGUUCCUCAAACAUCUGUCACUCUGUAGGCUGGAGAAUUCUGGAAACAAUCUCCCCCUGAGGAUUCCAAAGGUAUUGAC
rnacentral:lncRNA from 1 species